rnacentral:rRNA from 1 species
GAUGAACGCUGGCGGCGUGCCUAAUACAUGCAAGUCGAGCGAACAGAUAAGGAGCUUGCUCCUUUGAAGUUAGCGGCGGACGGGUGAGUAACACGUGGGUAACCUACCUAUAAGACUGGGAUAACUUCGGGAAACCGGAGCUAAUACCGGAUAACAUUUAGAACCGCAUGGUUCUAAAGUGAAAGAUGGUUUUGCUAUCACUUAUAGAUGGACCCGCGCCGUAUUAGCUAGUUGGUAAGGUAACGGCUUACCAAGGCGACGAUACGUAGCCGGCCGGAGAGGGUGAUCGGCCACACUGGAACUGAGACACGGUCCAGACUCCUACGGGAGGCAGCAGUAGGGAAUCUUCCGCAAUGGGCGAAAGCCUGACGGAGCAACGCCGCGUGAGUGAUGAAGGGUUUCGGCUCGUAAAACUCUGUUAUUAGGGAAGAACAAAUGUGUAAGUAACUGUGCACAUCUUGACGGUACCUAAUCAGAAAGCCACGGCUAACUACGUGCCAGCCGCCGCCGUAA